rnacentral:rRNA from 1 species
GACGAACGCUGGCGGCGUGCUUAACACAUGCAAGUCGAACGGAAAGGCCCUGCUUUUGUGGGGUGCUCGAGUGGCGAACGGGUGAGUAACACGUGAGUAACCUGCCCUUGACUUUGGGAUAACUUCAGGAAACUGGGGCUAAUACCGGAUAGGAGCUCCUGCUGCAUGGUGGGGGUUGGAAAGUUUCGGCGGUUGGGGAUGGACUCGCGGCUUAUCAGCUUGUUGGUGGGGUAGUGGCUUACCAAGGCUUUGACGGGUAGCCGGCCUGAGAGGGUGACCGGCCAUAUUGGGACUGAGAUACGGCCCAGACUCCUACGGGAGGCAGCAGUGGGGAAUAUUGCACAAUGGGCGGAAGCCUGAUGCAGCAACGCCGCGUGCGGGAUGACGGCCUUCGGGUUGUAAACCGCUUUCGCCUGUGACGAAGCGUGAGUGACGGUAAUGGGUAAAGAAGCACCGGCUAACUACGUG